rnacentral:sRNA from 1 species
AUGUACCCCUCACACACGCCGGUUCUGAGUGCGCCGUCCCUUCCCACCGGACGACUGCUCGCUAGGUGUUGUCAGCC